rnacentral:rRNA from 1 species
GACGAACCGUGCGAACGUUGUUCGGAAUCACUGGGCUUAAAGGGCGCGUAGGCGGACUGCCGCGUCUGGGGUGAAAUCCUCCGGCUCAACCGGAGAAGUGCCUCGGGUACGGGCGGUCUCGAGGGGGGUAGGGGCGUGCGGAACUGUGGGUGGAGCGGUGAAAUGCGUUGAUAUCCACAGGAACUCCGGUGGCGAAGGCGGCACGCUGGGACCCCCUUCUGACGCUGAGGCGCGAAAGCCAGGGGAGCGAACGGG